rnacentral:rRNA from 1 species
ACGUGCCAGAAGCCUCGGCAAUACGUAGGGUCCAAGCGUUAUCCGGAUUUACUGGGCGUAAAGGGUUUCCCAGGCUGAUGGUUAAGUCUAGUUUGAAAGCACGUGGCUCAACUGCGUUGUUGGACUAGAUACUGGCCAUCUUGAGGGCAUCAGGGGAGACUGGAAUUCUCGGUGGAGGGGUGAAAUCCGUUGAUAUCGAGAGGAACGCCAAUGGCGAAGGCAGGUCUCUGGGGUGUUCCUGACGCUCAUGUACGAAAGCUUGGGUAGCAAACGGGAUUAAAGACCCCGGUAGUCCAAGCCGUAAACCAUGGAUACUAGAUGCGUGGUUCGCUCAGGAUAAAAUUCU